ACUGGGUCUUAUAAUGACUACGAUUAAUUUUCUGUGGAACUUUUGUCAGAGAGAAAGCCUCAAUUUAGAAAAUGCCUCUAUAAGACUGGGCUGUCCGCAAGCUCCUGGGGCAUUUUCUUAAUUAGGGAUUAGUGGUGGAGGCCCAGUCCACUGUGGGUGGUGGCAUUCCCAGUCCACUGUGGGUGGUGCUGAGCUCUAUAAGAAGCAGGCUGAGCAAGCCAGUAAGCAGCACCCCUCCAUGACCCCUGCCUCCAGGUUUCUGCCCUGUGUGAGUUCCUGUUCUGGCUUCCUUCAAUAGUAAUAUUAAUAGUGAUAUGGAAGUGUUGCUACAGACUACUUGGAAUUAAAGUUGGAGGAAAGUUGGACUGUUUUCCUUCUUAUAUUUCAGCGUACUUCUACAUUUAAUCACAUAUUUCACGUGAUUAAAAGGCAAGUGUAAACAUAUAUUUGCUACCAUUUGUAGCCAGUUGUGUACAUGUGCCAGACUUUCUGCACAGCCCCUCCCCUAGUAGGAACCAAUACCGAACCCAGGGGUGGUGCUGGGGAGUCACAGAGACCUCCUGGCUUACUUGCAGCGAUUAAAGCCUGCAAAUGUAAACAUCCACAGUAGAUGCAGCUCUAAUAAAAUCCUAUUUUACUUUGUACCAUUUGUUUUCAUAAGUCACCACCUUGCUUUGGCACUUGGUGUCAGCCGGGUUCCUUCUCUCUCACGCAUCUUGAAGACCAGUACUGCUUUUGAAUCGUGAACUGCAGCCAACAGAGGGACACCAGGCAGCCCAGGCGGGCGGAGGGUGGAGCCCCAUCACCUGGGUCUGCGCCUGGGUCUGUGUGACAAAGGCUCCAUUUCUAAGGAAUACUAAACAACACAGCUCUAAGCUAUGAAAAAGACAAUCUUUUGUUUUAUUUUAUUGUGUGUAAUUUGAAGGUUCUAAUAUUUGACACCCUCACCAUGAAAAUCCAGCAGUGCAAAGCAAAUGGCAAAGAGCAUUAGGACCUUGUUGAUAUGCUGGGAAGAGACUGAGUGACCACACUGUCCUGCCAUCCUGCCUUUUAUACAAAGAAGGAAUAUCAAAUGGUGUGACAAGCGAUGGUCCACUGGAGUUCUUCAUGCAAGGGAAUCAUUAUUUUGAGACUUCUCAAAACACUUUCUAUGCGGGGUGGUGGUGUUGCACGCCUUUAAUCCCAGCACUCAGGAGGAUCUCAAGGUGGAGUUCAAGGCCAGGCUGAUCUCUACAAUGAGUUCCAGGACAGGCUGCUUCCGGGGCACAAUGAUGUCGGUUGGCUGACUAUGAGGAUGCAGGCCUUGCAAACGCAUGUGCAGUCUCUACCACGUCAUUAUUGACUGCUGACUCGUCAAGGACCGAAGGAGCAGGCUGCAGUUCUGUCGUCACCAGGCCCGCGUGAUGACUGCCCACACACAGCCAGCCCCGUGACAUUGCGUUUAUUUUCUGCUCUGCACUCUUCCGUCCUCGCGUCAUCUUUCUUUUCCAGCUGAACAUGAAACAGACAGCUGUUGUCCUAGUACUUGAGAGCCACCACUGAAGGCACUCACAUCGUACUCAUUUAUUCCAAAAGGCUCCAGAGAAGAAAGUUGAAGCCUCUCCACAAGGCAAACCACCUGCGGGUGAGAUCCAACACUGGCCUGUACUUGAUCUCAGACAAUAUGAAAACAUCAUUUUCCUGGGACAUAAAUUCAUCCCAGAGGAGACAAAACAAUAAGAAAAGCCAUCACUGAUGCUCUGCACCCUGGCUACAGGACAGUUGCACGACCAGGAGUCCACUCUCACUUCUGUGUCAUAAUCAAAGAGUCUGCUUUCAUUUUCACUCUCAGCCAAUCACCAGAACACACUGAAGCUGCUGCUGGUUCAAGUCCAGAAGCAUCCCAAAAACAGCAGAGAAAGGAGAAAGAACCUGCCUGAGACCAGUGGAAACUUCAUUAUGCCGAACUCCAGUGUGCAGCAGGGAAACAAUAGGAAACAGGCCUUAUUUUAUUUUAAACAAGGUAUAUGUGUGUGUAUAUCACUGUGCAUUCGAGUGCAGGUUCCUGAGGGGGUCAGUAGAGGGCACCAACUCCACUGGAGCUGAAGUUUUAGGCAGCUGUGAACUGCCAUAUGAAUACUGGAUAUUGAACUCUUAGACACUAAACCAUCUCUC